CCCUUCGCAACUUCAUGUAGCCUGUACUCAAGGAAGUCAUGAACAAGACUUGUCAUGAUGUGUUGACUUUCAGUGGCCAUUUCAUCUAAUAGUGGUGAAAUAACAUCUUUUAGGUUGACUGAAUGCAACCAUACAUAUGGUGACAACUGUGGGACUGAUUGUAUUUGGGAGACAGGGUCAUUUAUGUAAAUGAUGUUUGUUGUAAUGCUGCAUUUAGUUUUGUAAUUUAAGGUGACACGCCAAUUCCGUUCAAUCUUUUGAUUGUUAU